rnacentral:rRNA from 1 species
GAUGAACGCUGGCGGCGUGCCUAAUACAUGCAAGUCGAGCGAACAGACGAGGAGCUUGCUCCUCUGACGUUAGCGGCGGACGGGUGAGUAACACGUGGAUAACCUACCUAUAAGACUGGGUUAACUUCGGGAAACCGGAGCUAAUACCGGAUAAUAUAUUGAACCGCAUGGUUCAAUAGUGAAAGACGGUUUUGCUGUCACUUAUAGAUGGAUCCGCGCCGCAUUAGCUAGUUGGUAAGGUAACGGCUUACCAAGGCAACGAUGCGUAGCCGACCUGAGAGGGUGAUCGGCCACACUGGAACUGAGACACGGUCCAGACUCCUACGGGAGGCAGCAGUAGGGAAUCUUCCGCAAUGGGCGAAAGCCUGACGGAGCAACGCCGCGUGAGUGAUGAAGGUCUUCGGAUUGUAAAACUCUGUUAUUAGGGAAGAACAAAUGUGUAAGUAACUAUGCACGUCUUGACGGUACCUAAUCAGAAAGCCACGGCUAACUACGUG